rnacentral:rRNA from 1 species
UGGGGAAUAUUGGACAAUGGGGGCAACCCUGAUCCAGCAAUGCCGCGUGUGUGAAGAAGGCCUUCGGGUUGUAAAGCACUUUAGGCUGGGAGGAAGAUGUAUUGUUUAAGAGAUGAUACAUUUGACUGUACCGGCAGAAUAAGCACCGGCUAACUCUGUGCCAGCAGCCGCGGUAAUACAGAGGGUGCGAGCGUUAAUCGGAGUUACUGGGCGUAAAGGGCGCGUAGGCGGUUUUUUAAGCUGGUUGUGAAAUCCCUGGGCUUAACCUAGGAACUGCAACCAUGACUGGAAAGCUAGAGUACUGUAGAGGGUAGUGGAAUUUCCGGUGUAGCGGUGAAAUGCGUAGAGAUCGGAAGGAACACCAGUGGCGAAGGCGGCUACCUGGACAGAUACUGACGCUGAGGCGCGAGAGCGUGGGGAGCAAACAG